rnacentral:rRNA from 1 species
UACGAAGGGGGCUAGCGUUGCUCGGAAUCACUGGGCGUAAAGCGCACGUAGGCGGAUUGUUAAGUCAGGGGUGAAAUCCUGGAGCUCAACUCCAGAACUGCCUUUGAUACUGGCGAUCUCGAGUCCGGGAGAGGGAUGCGGAAUUCCAGGUGUAGCGGUGAAAUGCGUAGAUAUCUGGAGGAACACCGGUGGCGAAGGCGGCAUCCUGGACCGGCAUUGACGCUGAGGCGCGAAAGCGUGGGGAGCAAACAGG